UGUCAAGAUGAUGCUCAUUACAGCACUCAUUACAGCUCUCUGUUGCACAGGUGUUGUGGUUGAAAGUGUGACCCUGACUGAGUCUGAGCCAGUGGUCAUCAGUCCUGGAGGAUCUCACAAACUGACCUGCACAGCAUCUGGAGUCACGUUCAGUGACUAUAGCAUGCACUGGAUCAGACAGGCUCCUGGAAAAGGACUGGAAUGGCUGGCAUACAUUAGAUAUGACAGUGGCAAAAUCUACUACUCCCAGUCUGUUCAAGGGAGGUUCACCAUCUCCAGAGACAACAGCAAGAGUCAGGUGUAUCUGCAGAUGAACAGUCUGAAGGCUGAGGACACAGCUGUGACGUCUUACUUAACAGUGACAGGCUCUGGAGUGGAUUGGAAGGAUAGUGUUCAGGGACGAUUCACCAUCUCCAGAGACAACAGUGUGGACCAGGUGUAUCUGCAGAUGAACAGUCUGAAGGCUGAAGACACGGCUGUGUAUUACUGUGCCCGCAGACGCACAGUGAUGCAAGACUCUAGAGAGCUGUACAAAAACCCAUGCAAAAGCUAA